CCUGGUGGCUCAGAGGUUAAAGCACCUGCCUGCAAUGCAGAAGACCUGGGUUUGACCCCUGAGUCAGGA
rfam:TPA: Bos taurus chromosome 23, whole genome shotgun sequence.